GCCGCCGCCAGGAAGGCCGAGUUGAGGCGCGUCUCGAGCUCGCCGUCGGCCGCCGCCGCCUCCAUGUGCGAGUAGAGGAUGUGCUGCAGCUGCGUGUACUCGAUCUCCGUCAUCUCCACCAGGCUCAGUCAGGAUUCAUGGACCUGGGAAUCAAGAUGUGGAAAUGGAUGCAGCUCCUCUCACUGUCACCUCUACUGGCCACUUGCAAAAUCGGUGCUUCCUGCUCCUGAAACUUUUUCUUCUAGAGGGUUCAGUCCCAAGGGCAAGAGUGCUUCCUUCAGAGGACACGGGAUGACUUCCAUAGGCUGUCAGUCGAGGCUGUUGCCUGGCCACUCUGGACUCCUCAUGCCAGCAGGGAAUCUUGACCAGCUGAGGAGUGUGGACUGCACAGUGGAAGAAGGUCAUUACAAAUACCAGCUCGACCACAUGACCAGCUGCAGAAGUGUCUCUUCUACUUUUGAGAUGAGCAUGCUUGUGUGUUUGUUAACCACACGCUUUUGUUUUCUUCUCCUCUCUUGUGUGCUCUCAUAUAACAUAAGAUGUGUGAAGAGUGGCUGCAGGACCAGGCAACACUGGGAAGUGCGAGCCAGUGGAGGAGACUAAACACGGCCUAAAGAAGGGGGAAGGGGCUGAGUGUUUUCAGGACGGUUGUGUUGUGUUAGGAGGGAAAAUGACUGUGUUAUGUCUUCAUUUGGAAAUUAUGGCUUAAAGAGCAUUGUAAGCAAGGCUGGUGUGCUGGAGGCCACGGUGACAGGGCAGGAUGGCUGUGUGGCUUGGCUGGACCACUUUUCUCAGAAUCCCCUCUCCUGCAUAUUCCUGGUUAUGGGCAUCACCAGAGACAUUUCUGCAUGAGAUCUGGAGGCCAGAAGAGAAGCAGCAGCCACAUCGCUGUUUAUACUUGGAGAGUUGAGCUGGGGUCAUGCGCAUGGUGCUGGCACAGCUCCCCACUCCCGGAACUGCCCAGCCUCCUGGACUUGGGCCAGAUGUGUGUCUACCUUUCUGACAAAGUGCACCAACUUCUCAGGCAGGACACCUGUCUCAUCAGGGUUGGAGGUGGAGAGGAAUGCGUGAGUGCUCGUCCAUCCCGGUGUUUUCUGGCUGUAUGCUCUUCCUCCCACUCACCCCUUCCCUCUGCCCAUCCUGCAGACCUCAAGCUCCUGCCUCAGAGGCAAAGACAGUAGCCUCCCAGCAGCAAUUGUUCAGCCAGCUCCCAUGAUGCCAAGGGCAGAUGCCUGUAAACAAAGUCUGGAGGCAUCUCUCUUCCUGCUGUUUCUCCUGCUGUGUCUCUCUGUCUCUGCCUCUCUCUCCUCUCUCCCUCUCUCUCAUCUGUCUGAUCUCCUGGAUGGUCCUCCUUCUCAGCUGCACCCUGAGUGACCCGAAACAGAAGAGAGAGAAUGAAGAAACAAGUCGUGCCCAUGGCACCAGCAGUCUGGACUCCAUUUGCUACACAUCUUGUUGUGGCUGUGAUUUGAAACCAACGUCCACACCGUCAAGAAGAAAGGAGACAGCCUCACGGGGCCAAAUGCAGGGAGGUGUCCGAAGAUUGGCCGUCUACGUAGUGGAGAAAGACAGAAACAAAGGGCGGAGGAGAAUCUGAGAUCUAGGCCGGAGGAUGAGCCUGUCGUUGCAGAAUGAAAGAACUUGCUGUGUUCCAGAAGAAAGCGUGAUCGACGUGUUCACCUUCCAGAGCUGAACUUGUUUCCUUCUGUUCCUGAUUGGGGUGUGUGUGUGUGUGUGUGCUCACAUGUGCUGCAUGUGCUUGUGUGUGCAUGUAUGGGGGGGUACCUGGUAGCUGCCAACCCAGCACCCAGCCUCCCCUCCAUGUCUGGAUUCCUGGGGUGUCACUCACAUAGUAAAAGUCACCUUUUGGGGGCAUCACUGUAUGAGUUUUAACAAACGCAAGCAGCCGUGCAGCCAACACUGCCCUAUGUGCCCCAGUGACUCCCACAUGCUGCCCUCCCCACACCCUGGCCCCACACCCCGUCCGCUUUCUGUCCCGAGUUUUGUCUUAUCCAGCAUGUCAUGUGAUGGGAUCCCAUGGCUGGCGGCCUUUGGUCUGGUGCCUUUCCCUCAUACGAUGCCUCUGAGACUCAGGGGGCCGUCAUCCCUAUGGCGCUUGCUCCCUUCUUGCUGCUGGGCUGUACUCUGCUGUAUGGCGGGGCCAUGGUUUAUCCACACACUGAUUGAAGGGCAUUUAGGUGGUUUCCUGGUUUGGGCAAUUGUAAACAAAUCACUAUAAAUAUUUCCUUACAGAUUUUUAUGUGAGCAAGUCUUCAUCUGUUUAGGGCAGUUUCUCAACCUUUUUAAAAUUACUACUCCUUGAGAAGCCUCUUUAGACGUAUUUUUCUUAACGGUCCUCCUCUGCCACGAUGCUUUAAUACCGCAGACGCACUGUGCACCUGCCUGUGCAUGUUUUGAACAAUGGGAAGAUGUAAAUAAUGCUUUUGAUGAAUAUUUGAUGCCUUUGGGAAUUGCCUAGGAUAUAACAAACGAAAAAAAGAUACAAGAAUGUAUAGAAUCCCGAUUUGGGGAAAGAAAGUUUAAGGGAAAAUGUACAAAUGUUAGCAGCAAUUCCUGCUGGAUAUGAGGUAUGGGUGGCCUUGGUGUUCUCGCUUUUCCUAACCGUCCCGCAGUGAGCAUGGAUUCAGCCAUUUGCAGCCACAAGCCCCAGCAGCUCCGGCCUCCGUCCCUG
rnacentral:lncRNA from 1 species